AAUAUUUUAGUCGUUGCGGGA
rnacentral:siRNA from 1 species